rnacentral:tRNA from 1 species
GGGAGUGUAGCUCAGUGCCAGAGCAUUCGAUUGCAGAUCGAGAGGUCGGCGGUUCAAAUCCGCCCGCUCCUU